GAUGAACGCUGGCGGCGUGCCUAAUACAUGCAAGUCGAGCGAACAGAUGAGGAGCUUGCUCCUCUGACGUUAGCGGCGGACGGGUGAGUAACACGUGGAUAACCUACCUAUAAGACUGGGAUAACUUCGGGAAACCGGGGCUAAUACCGGAAAAUAUAUUGAACCGCAUGGUUCAAUAGUGAAAUACGGUUGUGCGGUCACUUAUAGAUGGAUCAGCGCCGCAUUAGCUAGUUUGUAAGGGAACGGCUUACCAAGGCCACGAGGCGUAGCCCACCUGAGAGCGUGAUUAGACACAGUGGCACUGAGACACGCUCAAGACUCCUACGGGAGGCAGUAGUAGGGAAUCUUACGAAAUGGGCGAAAGUGUGACGGAGACGCGUCGCCUGAGUGAUGAAGGUCUUAGGAACGUACACAUCUGUUAUUAGGGAAGAACAAAUGUGUACGGAACUAUGCAUGUUAUGACGGUACCCAAUCAGAAAGCCACGGCUAACCAUGUG
rnacentral:rRNA from 1 species